rnacentral:misc_RNA from 1 species
UCCCCGUUGAAGCGAGGCAGUCCGUCCAGAGUGCUUCCCGCUUUCGCGGGAGUGGCAACAGGACGCAAGGGUUGCGCUCGUUGCGGGACUUAACCCAACAUCUCACGACACGAGCUGACGACAGCCAUGCAGCACCUGUGCACGCUGGUAUUGCUACCUCGUUAGGCUUUCACCCUUCUACUACGUGCAUGUCAAGGCCAGGUAAGGUUCUUCGCGUUGCAUCGAAUUGAGCCACAUACUCCACCGCUUGUGCAGGCCCCCGUCAAUUUCUUUGAGUUUUAAUCUUGCGACCGUACUCCCCAGGCGGCGCAUUUAACGCGUUAGCUUCGCCACGAACGGGGUCGAUUCCGCUCACAGCAAAUGCGCACCGUUUACAGCCAGGACUAC